rnacentral:rRNA from 1 species
GCGCUGACUGCUUUUUUUCUUACACAUGUGUUUUUCUUUUUUUGAAAACUUUGCUUUGGUAGGCCUUCUAUAUGGGGCCUGCCAGAGAUUAAACUCAACCAAAUUUUAUUUAAUGUCAACCGAUUAUUUAAUAGUCAAAACUUUCAACAACGGAUCUCUUGGUUCUCGCAUCGAUGAAGAACGCAGCGAAAUGCGAUAAGUAAUAUGAAUUGCAGAUAUUCGUGAAUCAUCGAAUCUUUGAACGCACAUUGCGCCCUUUGGUAUUCCAAAGGGCAUGCCUGUUUGAGCGUCAUUUCUCCCUCAAACCCUCGGGUUUGGUGUUGAGCGAUACGCUGGGUUUGCUUGAAAGAAAGGCGGAGUAUAAACUAAUGGAUAGGUUUUUUCCACUCAUUGGUACAAACUCCAAAACUUCUUCCAAAUUCGACCUCAAAUCAGGUAGGACUACCCGCUGAACUUAAGCAUAUCAAUAAGCGGAGGAA